rnacentral:lncRNA from 10 species
UAUAUAUAUACACACAUAUAUAUAUAUAUAGUCUGUCUCAAUUUACAACAUAUACAUAUUCAGUAUUCCCAGACACUCAGACACCAAUGUCAUGCCACCAGGGGUGAGUGUUUUAAUUUGUGUGUUUGUAAAUUAUGGAGGUUGAUGUAGUGUGGAGGAUAACUUAGGCUUAGGAAGGAAAAAUGAUCCUUAGACUGAACUAACUGAGCAGAGACUGGAGCUGGGAGGGAGAGGUGUUCAUGAUAAUAUAAUUCUGGGAAUCUGCAGAAAUCCAGGGGAUGGCAUGAACUUCCUGCAAGUCACUUGAUGUGGACUUCAGCUUCUUACUGUGAUUUUCAGGGCCGAAGUGACAGGCUGAAUUUUUAUAGGGAUAGAGUCGUCUUUACAUUCUUACUUUUGUAGGGAUAAGAGUUGCCUAAGUAUGUCUGCUGCUUUUUGUAUUAUAUGCCCAAAGAGCCCCUUCCAGUCCUCUCUACGGCUAAGCUGCUCUCAAUGGCUUCCUGAUGCUGCUGCCCAGAAAGGAGCCUCAGAGGAGUUAAUUUGCCAGCCAGGCUGGUUUGGCUUUUCUCAGCCUUUUCACAGACUCUGAAUUAUCACACUGUGUGUGCCUGUGUCCUUCUGACUUAUCCUCAGGACGGAAAGUCUCCUUCUCCCACUGAUUUGUCAGUAAAGAUGGUAGUUAGAGAUGAUCUUUUUACGGCAGAGUAACAUUUAGAAAUGUUACAUACUUAACGUCUGCACCCAGAAUUGCUGGGAAGAAAAUCUGAGCCACUAGAUAUUUUCUGCAGAUGCUCCUUUACUUAUGGUGGGGUCACUUUCUGAUAAACCCAUCCUAAGUGGAAAAUACUGAAAAUUGAGACACACUAGACAAGGCUAUACUCUGGUUGGCAAACUUGGGCAAGUUAUUUCACCUCUUAAAGCUUCUAACAUUCAGCUGAAAGACAUGGAUAGCCAAGUCCACCUCAUAAGGUCAUUAUAAGUUUUAAAAGGGAGAACGAAGGCAAAGCCCUCAUCAUACAGGGCUUGAUGCUCAGCAAUAGGGGAGGGAUGUGGGCCCUGACACUGAGACAGUGGUGGCAGCUUCCAGAUUCACCUGGGUGGUGCACUGGUUCAGGUGGAGCACCAUACUGUUAUGGACUGAAUUGUGUCUUCCAAAAUUCAUAUGCUUAAGCUCUAAUCCAAUGUGACUGGUGUCCUCAUAAGAAAAGGAAAUAUGGGCAGACAGAAAGAUACCAGAGACUUCCACACACAGAAAAAAAAAGGACGUGAAGACACAGGGAGAAGGUGGCCAUCUGCAAGCGAAGGAGAGAGGUCUUAAGAGGAUCCAAAGCUGCCAACGCCCUAAUUUUAGAAUUUUAGAAUUCCAGCCUCCAGAACUGAGAAAAUAAAUUUCUGUUGUUUUUUUAAAAAGAGAAAAUAUUGUAAGUUGAAUGUGUGUUUUUGACUUACAGUAUUUUCAACUUAUGAUGGGUUUAUUUGGACACAGCACCAUUGUAUGACAUAGCUCCAUAUACCUGUACAUUGAGGAGCAUACUGAAAAUAUACCUGUUCCACACCACGAUAAAGCUGAAUAAUUGCUAUCCACUUGGAGUCAUCUCUUGGUCUUUAUCUCAUGUUUAUUCUUUUUUUUGGUUUGUUUUUGGUUAUAAUGCAAUUCUUAAAUGUCACAAAGCACAAGCCAAAUAAAUAUGUCACCUGACUUUUUUGCUAUUAUUAUUAUACUUAAAUAUUUUUUCCUGCUUUAUAGCAGAAUAUUUUGUCUUGAAAUGAAAUGAGAAAGGAUGGAAUUGAUUAGAUAAAUGACCAGAUGUAUGUUAGCUUACAUAAAAAAUCUGU